rnacentral:tRNA from 2 species
GGGGCCAUAGCUCAGUUGGGAGAGCACCGGCUUUGCAAGCCGGGGGUCGGCGGUUCGAAGCCGCCUGGCUCCA